AUUCUUGGUCAUUUAGAGGAAGUAAAAGUCGUAACAAGGUCUCCGUAGGUGAACUGCGGAGGGAUCAUUACUGAAUGGCCUCAUGGCCUUCACACCCUCAAACCCGUGGAAUUGAGACGUGCUUCGGCGCCUGAGGGCGUCGCAUUUAAUGCAUACAUCUGUCUGUGUCUGAAAUACAAUCUAGAAUUAAAACUUUCAACAAAGGAUCUCUUGGCUCUCGCAUCGAUGAAGAACGCAGCGAAGCGCGAAAUGUAGUGUGAAUCGCAGAACAUUGUGAAUCAUUGAAUCUUUGAACGCACAUUGCGCCUCUCUUUAUGGGGAGGCAUGCCUGUCUGAGCGUCAUUUAAACCAAUAAACCCGGAUGGGUUUGUGCUGGGCCUCGCCCGUCGGGCGUCGCCUCAAAGGCAUCGGUCUUACGAGCGGAUGAGAUCCAUUAGGACUGACCGUUCCGAUGACAUUAAACCUCUGACUUGACCUCAGAUCAGGUAGGGACACCGCCUGAACUUAAGCAUAUCAAUAAGGCGAGGAACAGAAACCAACAGGGAUUCCCCUAGUAGUGGCGAAUGAAGCGGGAAAAGCUCAAGUUUGAAAUCUGAGGGGUGACCUUCAGAGUUGUAAGCUGAAGAGGCAUAGACCGACGCGGUCCGGGCUCAAUUUCCUUGGAACAGGAGGUCAUGGAGGGUGAGAACCCCGUCUGUGGCUUGGGUGCCGACGUCCUUGUGUCUUGUCCUCGAAGAGUCGGGUUGUUUGGGAAUGCAGCUCAAAAUGGGUGGUAAAUUUCAUCUAAAGCUAAAUAUUGGCGAGAGACCGAUAGCAAACAAGUAGAGUGAUCGAAAGAUGAAAAGAAUC
rnacentral:rRNA from 1 species